rnacentral:rRNA from 1 species
UACGGAGGGUGCAAACGUUGCUCGGAAUUAUUGGGCGUAAAGCGCACGUAGGCGGCCUGUUAAGUCGGGUGUGAAAUCCCUGGGCUCAACCCAGGAAGUGCACUCGAAACUGGCGGGCUUGAGUACUGAAGAGGGUCGCGGAAUUCCCGGUGUAGAGGUGAAAUUCGUAGAUAUCGGGAGGAACACCAGUGGCGAAGGCGGCGACCUGGGCAGAUACUGACGCUGAGGUGCGAAAGCGUGGGGAGCAAACAGG